rnacentral:lncRNA from 1 species
CGCAGCAAGGGCCAGACUCUGCGCUAGCAGGCGCUGCGCGCCAACCGGCCGGCACCUGUCGCAGAAGGUGCAACCGAUCGCACUGUCGCGCAGAAGCUCCUCAAUGGCCAGCGCCAGCUGCAGCCCCGGCCGCCCACUCGCCUCAUCUGAGCCUGGGCAAAUCUGGAUUGGGAAAGUUGACAUUAAUCAACUCAUUAUUCCUCACAGAUUUGUAUUCUCCAGAGUAUCCAGGUCCUUCUCAGAGAAUUAAAAAGCCUGUACAGGUCUAGAUAUUGGUAUUUUUAAUUGAUGAUAAGCUGGAAUAAUAUUAAUACACACAAAGCACGUGUUGUAACUUUCAUUAUGCUUCCUUAGAGCGCUGCUCUAAGCUGUUGAUGAAAAAUAUUGUUGGUGAGCUCUGCUUAGGUAAUAUAUAGGACAUGAGCAGAGAGGAGGCACGUGAACAGUUCUGGCCUGGAGUAGGCUUCAUUGAGGCUGUGAUGCUUUUAGCUGGAUUUGAAGAAGUGGUAGUGAUCAUCCCAGUGCACAGGAUAGGUGGACAGUCUAUGUAUUCUGAGCAGUAACUCAUAUAUCUCAUACUGCAAGACCCCAAAGGAGUAAUUUUGUGAACUCUGUUCACGGAAAGGGCCUGGGAGCUGCAACACCUCAACAGCAACAAGCACACCUGCUACCUAGAACUUGGUUUCUAAAAACCAUCCUCCUCUAAAAGGAAACAGAGCUCUUUGAAGAAACGGUAUUCUAAUAAUACUGCGUGACAUUACGGACAACUUAGCCUAAAUUAUGGAAAAUCAAAUUAUUUAGUAGAACUGCAAGACAAUCCUCUCAGUUGUUGUACAGAAGGUAAGCAUGAGCAAAUUACUUUUUAGAGGUAACUUUGCUGAACUUGUGAAGAAUGGUGUGCAAGGUCCAGAGCGACUGCAGGAGAGGGAAGGUGGGAUUCCCACAGAGCAGGAGCACAGAUAAGCCAAGCAAGGCCCUGCUUGGAAGGCAGCAAUCAACAGAGAUGCACAGACCUGUGAGGGUGCCGGGACAGCCAUGCAACAAUGCAGCCCUUUUGCUUCCUGAGCUCACCAGUUCCCUCGCUCCACCUCUGAGAGGUGGUUUGGAGAAACACAGCCCUUCUCAAGAGGGCUGCAAGCUACUUAAGUCCUGAAAAUUUCCACAAGGCUGAGUCAAAUCUGCGUUUCAUCAUCUAUAAGAAAGGUACCUAUCGAGAACACCCUGCUGGCCAGUGUGUAAAUAUCUAAAGGAGGACUCAGAAAACACCGGGGAAGUCCAGCCUGCACGUGGUGGCUGGGCUUCAGUGAAGCAUGCAGCACAACAGGAGUUGUAAGUAGUAGUUACAUCAGCAGCCCUGGAAAUUCUGCUCAGAACCAAACUGAACAAAUAACAUUAUCUAAGGCUUACAAUUAUUUAACUCCCUAAAUUUUCUGUCCUCCCAGUAGCACUUUCAAAUGCCUAAAAGCAAUUAAAAGAAACAUUUUUCCAAU